rnacentral:tRNA from 1 species
GGAGGCAGCGCAAAGCGGGCCCUGAAAACGGAUUCGAAAUCCGUUGAGUCAGCAAUGGCUCCUAGGGUUCAAAUCCCUAUCUCUCCGCCA